UAGCUAUGGUGAAAAGAGAAACCUCAAACA
rnacentral:piRNA from 1 species